rnacentral:rRNA from 1 species
UCGAGAAUUUUUCUCAAUGGGCGAAAGCCUGAAGGAGCGACGCCGCGUGGGGGAUGAAUGGCUUCGGCCCGUAAACCCCUGUCAUUUGCGAACAAACCUUUUGCGUGAAUAACGCAAGAGCUGAUUGUAGCGAAAGAGGAAGGGACGGCUAACUCUGUGCCAGCAGCCGCGGUAAUACAGAGGUCCCAAGCGUUGUUCGGAUUCACUGGGUGUAAAGGGUGCGUAGGUGGUGGGGUAAGUUUGAUGUGAAAGCUCCGAGCUUAACUCGGAAAUGGCAUUGAAUACUAUCCUGCUUGAGGUUUGGAGGGGGGACUGGAAUUCUCGGUGUAGCAGUGAAAUGCGUAGAUAUCGAGAGGAACACCAGUGGCGAAGGCGAGUCCCUGGACAACACCUGACACUGAGGCACGAAAGCUAGGGGAGCAAACAG